AUGCAGAGUGUUUCUUCCCAGAAAGAUAACUGGAGUGAAGCGGCAACCCGGCCUCCUGAGCCCCACGCUCCCAGCCCCAGAGCCAGCCGUGCAGCCCUGCGAUGCGGAUUCCAGCCAGGCUAUAUCACCAUUCCAAUGUCGGACAUAGAAGGAAAUAAAGGAGCAGAUAAAUCUAACCUGUUGUAAUUAUGGAUACCUUUGGAAAUGGAAUAAGAGGAGAGUCACAUUGGGAAGCUUAGUUUUCUUUGGAGGUAAGAUGAGUAAGAUUCUUUCUUUAUAGACUUAAACAUUCUA
rnacentral:lncRNA from 1 species